CGUACCGCAUAUUCCGUUUAUUACAAAAGCUUUUGGAGACAAGUGUAGCCGCACAAUGUCUGAACAUGUAUUGUCAUAACAGCAUUAUUUAUAAUUCAAACACGCCUAAUAAUGGGGGGGUUGAGGUAGCCUAAACAAGUCUGCGUUUGGUUCAAUUUAUGUUCUAUACCUUAUAUCAAUCAAUCAAUCAAUCAAUCAAAAUUUAUUUAUAAAGCGCUUUUUACAACAGCAGUUGUCACAAAGUGCUUUACAGAGACACCCGGCCUUAAACCCCAAGGAGCAAACAACAGCAGUGUUGAAUUUAUAUGUGUACAUGCAGCACAAGUGUCAUAUUUGCCCUUAUGUCUUCAGGUUUGAAGUUCCUCAGUAUGUGUGUGCGUUGUCCAUCUGUGUCCUGUUUGCCUAAGACACCCAAGCUAAAUGUGUAAGUGUAUUGGCUCCUCUGGUGGGGCAGGAGACAUUUUGGUGGAAUUUGGGAAAAACAUUUUUCAGAUUUGAAUGGUUGAAAUCCCCUGCAAUCAGAAAAACCCCAUCCGGGUCUUCUGUCUGCUGUUUGCUAAUAGCUGCAUGCAGUUCAUUCAUUGCUAGUGUAGCAUUAGCAUCUGGGGGUAUGUAGACUGCCGUACCAACAAUUGAUGUAAAGUCCUGAGGCAAGUAAAAAGGCCUGCAACUAAUCAUCAGGUACUCCAGACUGGUUGAGCAGUGACUCCAGUUAAGUUAGUGUUUGUACACCAUGUUUUGUUUACAUAAAUGCCCAGCCUACCUACUCCGGUCUUACCGGAGUCCACUUCAGUCCGAUCUGCUCUGAAGACAUCGCGCCCUUCCAGCUCAAUUACGUUGUUGAAGAUCCACCACAUCAUGCCUACAACCUCGUCCUCCUGCCUGCCCGCCAGCCUACCUGCUCUGCCCAUGCUGCCUGCCAUCCCCGCCGCCCUGUCUGCCUUACCCCUCUGGCCAACCCUACUACCCCGCCUACCAGCCCAGCCCUCACCCCCCCCGGCCUUGCCUCAGUCCUGAUACCUGCAUUACACCCUGAGUUUAGUUGCUUGGGUCCACUAGAGGUAUUUCCCACAACAAUCAUUACACUUAUGAGUGAACGAUUUGAACCAGUUCAACAUAUUUUAAUUGAACUGCCAGCUCCCCACCUCCCCAUGGCUGGGCUUCACCGUCAGCUCAACCCUUCCCCAUGGCUGGGCUUCACCGUCAGCUCAACCCUUCCCCAUGGCUGGGCUUCACCGUCAGCUCAACCCUUCCCCAUGGCUGGGCUUCACCGUCAGCUCAACCCUUCCCCAUGGCUGGGCUUCACCGUCAGCUCAACCCUUCCCCAUGGCUGGGCCUCAGUGCCAGCUCAUCCCUUCCCCAUGGCUGGGCCUCACUGCCAGCUCACCCCUUCCCCGUGGCUGGGCUUCACUGUCAGCUCACCACUUCCCCAUCACACACGCUGACAGGGACCAGAUUAUGCGAUCCAAGCAAUGAGCAAUGAUUGUGGUCAUCCUCUAUAAGCACAUGACUCCGUGGUUCCUGGUUGUCAUCUGACUUUGGGCAGGGAUCCAUGCCCUGCAGAAGGGAUUCAGGCACUACAUCAGGGGACUGUGCCCUGCAAAAGGGAUCCAUGCCCUGCAGAAGGGAUCCAUGCCCUGCAGAUUGGACCCAUGCACUGCAGAAGGGUCUCCAGCACCUGAAUGGGGUCCAUUGCAAUGAAUGGUACCUAGCAAACUGGACAAGAUGUGUCUCUGGCUUAUCACACAUUUUGCUGCAGCACUGACUAAUUUAGUUUUACUUUUCUACAUGAAACAUUAUUAUAUUGCAUAUUUUAUUUAAACAACAAUACACUUGGUCAUUUAUUCUCUCUAUCGUGAGAGCAAUAACAACUCUCAUUGUAACCACCCUGAUCUCUCUCUGUUGGGAAAGUUUUCAGAUGUCGCCCACAUCCCUUUUUUGGCUCAGUUGUGGUUUUUUAAGUGUGGUUUUGCUCACCCUUUUGACCUAAGAGCUACUACAGUAAACAUCAUCUUAUUCAAUGAAAGAGGAACUUGUUUACAAGAAAAGGUCUCUCAUCAGACACUGAUCUGCAGAUAUUUAUCUUCUCGGCCCGUUUAGCAGAAAGAGGUGAGCCUUAAGUCUCAUGCAUCACAAAGUGAUGUGCAUUCAUUGUGCCUAAGAAAAGCCCUUAGCAAUGGUAUUUUGGCCAAAUACUAUCCUCUUGGGUAUUGACGCUCAAAUUUAGUAUACAUUUUUGUCCCCAAAGUGACAUGCAAUUAUACCCCAUGUUAAAGUACAAAUGUAUUUGGACAGAAUAACAUUAGUUACUGUUAGAAUGACCCUUUAGCGGCUGGAUGAUGCAGUAAACAAAGAGGCCAAAGCAAUGGUGUGGUAUACCAAAUCAUGCUGAUUUUUAUUCAAACAUCAAUUGUACAUACCGAUAGGUAGCAACCAAGGAAGUGAGACGUAACCAACAACACAGGCAGCUGGAAACUGGCGCCCUUUAUACUGUGUUCCCGGUCUACUAAAUUGAAUGGUUCAGCGAGUAGGUGUUCUCACCAUAUUCUCACAUGACUAUAGAAACUUAAACAACAUGUAGAAUACAAUUCAAUACAUAAUACACAUAAUCAUUCACCCCCUACUGGUUACCACCUAACAAACUUAUAAAACAAUUACAAAAAAUAUAUUACCUUGGGUCCUGCCACAUCUAAUGUUUUGCUGGUGUUUCUCCUGUGCAUACUGUAAACCUUCACAUAUCUGUUCCAACCACCUGUAGAAUGUUCAAGUUCUUUUGGCUUCAUUAUUUGUGCCAUUACUAAGCUCACCAGUGCUUACUAUCUUCUUCUUAAUGUACCAUAUGUGAUUUUGGACUUUCUAAUGCCUUGGCAAUGUGUCUGAUUUAUUCAGAUUUACUUCAAGAUUGACAGGUUUACUUAGACUGACAUUUAUUUUGGUCCUCAUGUUUCAAGACACCGACAUCAGACUCCAAAUGCAAAGCCUAGACUCAAGACUCGUCAAUGAAAGCUCUCUUAUGGAUGAACAAUUGAAGCCAAAUAACGUAAAAUUGUGUCACUUUAUUCAAAACUUGCUGCAAUUUCUAAAUGAUUCAUCUAAUGUGGAUACAAUUACAUGAAAUUAAAGCUGGCAGUUUGCACUUAAACCAAACAGCAAUUGUUUGAUUUUAAACCAAAAGUGAUAUAAAACUUAUUAUUAUUAAGAUUAUUAAAAGAACAUUUGAAACUGCGCUCAUGCAAAACCUGCUUAAUUAAAGAUCAUGUUUGACCUGUUUUAUGGUGUCUUGUUUCCUGAGACAACACCUUCCAAUCAGAAAAGAAAGAUGGUUUGACUGCUGUGUCACAAAUCCCCCUGGUGCACCAGCUCACGGACUACGUCUCUGGCCUACUAGGCAUGACUGUACAGGCUAAUCACCUUCACCCCGGACUGUCCCUGUUCAUCACAUAUACCUGUUUUCCAUUCCCACUGAUCAUUGCACCUACAUAAGGCCUUCUGUCUAGUGCCAGCUCACCCCUUCCCCAUGGCUGGGCCUCACUGCCAGCUCACCCCUUCCCCAUGGCUGGGCCUCACUUCCAGCUCAUCCCUUCCCCAUGGCUGGGCCUCACUGCCAGCUCAUCCCUUCCCCAUGGCUGGGCCUCACUGCCAGCUCACCCCUUCCCCGUGGCUGGGCUUCACUGUCAGCUCACCCCUUCCCCAUCACACACGCUGACAGGGACCAGAUUAUGCGAUCCAAGCAAUGAGCAAUGAUUGUGGUCGUCCUCUAAAAAACUUGGUCGUUUUUUAUCACGAUCAUGAGAGCAAAUAAAACUCUCAAGUGAAAAUCAAGUGAAAGUGGACAAAAAAGUUAAUAUGCAAUAUUAUAGGCAAAAUGUGGAUUUUGUAAUGUAACUGUAAACAAGCUGGUACAAUAACAAUGCCAUAAUGCCAUACAGUAAAAACCAAACUUGAGACUGAAUAUGUCAGUAUCAUUUUCUGUGUUUUAGCUAAAUAUAUUUUACAUUAAAAACUAGUUUGGUAUAAAUAGAAUAAUUUUCAUGAAACAAAAAGUACAGCAUAUUGACACAAUGACAUGAUACUCACCUUAUUUCACCAAUUAGAUAUGGGAAAACGUUUUUAGGCUACAUAUAUGAGGCCACAUAUACUACUGUUGAAUCAAU
ensembl:lncRNA